AACAAAGACAGGAGGAAGUAACAUUUAAAAGAUAUCUAAUUCAAGUCAUAGAUAGCUAAUCAAAAGAUUUCUCAUUAAUAUCAUACAAAUAAUACUAACUUUAACUAGGAUACCGCACUUCAAUAACAGGUACAGUGAGUGAUACUGUACUUCAAUAACAGGUACAGUGAGUGAUACUGUACUUCAAUAACAGGUACAGUGAGUGAUACUGUACUUCAAUAACAGGUACAGUGAGUGAUACUGUACUUCAAUAACAGGUACAGUGAGUGAUACUGUACUUCAAUAACAGGUACAGUGAGUGAUACUGUACUUCAAUAACAGGUACAGUGAGUGAUACUGUACUUCAAUAACAGGUACAGUGAGUGAUACCGCACUUCAAUAACAGGUACAGUGAGUGAUACCGCACUUCAAUAACAGGUACAGUGAGUGAUACCGUACUUCAAUAACAGGUACAGUGAGUGAUACCGUACUUCAAUAACAGGUACAGUGAGUGAUACUGUACUUCAAUAACAGGUACAGUGAGUGAUACUGUACUUCAAUAACAGGUACAGUGAGUGAUACCGUACUUCAAUAACAGGUACAGUGAGUGAUACUGUACUUCAAUAACAGGUACAGUGAGUGAUACCGUACUUCAAUAACAGGUACAGUGAGUGAUACUGUACUUCAAUAACAGGUACAGUGAGUGAUACCGUACUUCAAUAACAGGUACAGUGAGUGAUACUGUACUUCAAUAACAGGUACAGUGAGUGAUACUGUACUUCAAUAACAGGUACAGUGAGUGAUACUGUACUUCAAUAACAGGUACAGUGAGUGAUACCGUACUUCAAUAACAGGUACAGUGAGUGAUACUGUACUUCAAUAACAGGUACAGUGAGUGAUACUGUACUUCAAUAACAGGUACAGUGAGUGAUACCGUACUUCAAUAACAGGUACAGUGAGUGAUACCGUACUUCAAUAACAGGUACAGUGAGUGAUACUGUACUUCAAUAACAGGUACAGUGAGUGAUACCGUACUUCAAUAACAGGUACAGUGAGUGAUACUGUACUUCAAUAACAGGUACAGUGAGUGAUACCGUACUUCAAUAACAGGUACAGUGAGUGAUACCGUACUCCAGUCAAGACUGAAACUAUCCUCAAACACUCAUACUACUGCACAAACAGUGUAAUGCCAGCGUACUCCACUUGUAUUCCACUUGUGCCGUGAGACAGUCAAAUGUAAAAGAGCAUAAGAGAUUGUACAGACUUACAAUCUAAUCCAUCUGAGUUGUUGUUUACUAUAGAAACAGAUUUACACGCAACAACCGAACUGUUUACCUAGCUAGCUCAGAACGUGCAGAACUCACGUACACACUAAGGCCCGAGCCCGAAAUAGCACCCUGUUCCCUAUAGAGUGCACUACCUUUGACCCCAUCAAUAGGGAAUAGGGUGCCAUUUGGGACGUAGACUAACUCUGUCCCCACAUAAAUACACUUCAGCUCCCUCUGGAGAGUGAGCAAAUACUCCCUUGACUCCAUGCCAGUCUCCAUGCCAGUCCUAUGUUUGCUGUACCAAUCUGCCAGCCCAUGUCUGUCACUGCUCCAGUAGGCACACCUAUGUGUGUGUGUGUGUGCACAUAGAUGUGUGUGUGUGUGUGGGUGUGUAUGUCCUGCCAUCUGGGCACU